UUUGUAAUCUGCAGUUUUAUUGACUGUCCGAGUUGUAAACUAGAGAAGUGCUAUCCGCGCUGGACCGUGUACAAGUCUCCUGGAAUGGAGCGUCAUAAGGGUGAGAAUCCCGUCUUUGACACGGACUGCCAGGGCUUUUGUGAUGCGCUCUCAAAGAGUCGAGUUGUUUGGGAAUGCAGCUCAMAAUGGGUGGUAAAUUCCAUCUAAAGCUAAAUAUUGGCGAGAGACCGAUAGCGAACAAGUACCGUGAGGGAAAGAUGAAAAGAACUUUGGAAAGAGAGUUAAACAGUACGUGAAAUUGUUGAAAGGGAAACGCUUGAAGUCAGUCCGUCAUCCAGGGAUCAACCUUGCGGGUCCGUUCGCAGGUGCACUUCCUGGCUUUGACGGGUCAGCAUCAAUUUUGACCAUCGGAUAAAGGUCAGGGGAAUGUGGCAUCUUCGGAUGUGUUAUAGCCCCUAAUCGCUACGGUGGUUGGGAUUGAGGAACUCAGCAUGCCGAAAGGCCGGGGUCUUUUAAAGACUCACGUAAACGUGCUUAGAUGUUGGCGAAAUGGCUUCAUCACCCGUCUUGAAACACGGACCAAGGAGUCUAACAUGCCUGCRAGUGUUUGGUGGAAAACCCKAGCGCGUAAUGAAAGUGAAAGUUGAGACCUCUGUCGUGCAGGGCAUCGACGCCCGGACCUGACUUUUGUGACGGAUCCGCGGGAGCUGUAUUAGGACCCGAAGAUGGUGAACUAUGCCUGAUAGGUGAAGCCAAGGAAACUCUGUGGAGGCUCGUACGAUACUGACGUGAAUCGAUCGUCAACUUGGAUAGGGAAACUAAUCAACAUCUCUACUGGACUGCGAUCCCAAAAAA
rnacentral:rRNA from 1 species